GGAGAGGUGGCCGAGUGGUCGAAGGCGGUAGAUUCGAAAUCUAUUGUAGGGCAACCUACCGCGGGUUCGAAUCCCGCCCUCUCCGCCA
rnacentral:tRNA from 1 species